UGGGGAAUAUUGGACAAUGGGGGCAACCCUGAUCCAGCAAUGCCGCGUGUGUGAAGAAGGUCUUCGGAUUGUAAAGCACUUUCGACGGGGACGAUGAUGACGGUACCCGUAGAAGAAGCCCCGGCUAACUUCGUGCCAGCAGCCGCGGUAAUACGAAGGGGGCUAGCGUUGCUCGGAAUGACUGGGCGUAAAGGGCGUGUAGGCGGUUUACACAGUCAGAUGUGAAAUCCCCGGGCUUAACCUGGGAGCUGCAUUUGAUACGUGUAGACUAGAGUGUGAGAGAGGGUUGUGGAAUUCCCAGUGUAGAGGUGAAAUUCGUAGAUAUUGGGAAGAACACCGGUGGCGAAGGCGGCAACCUGGCUCAUGACUGACGCUGAGGCGCGAAAGCGUGGGGAGCAAACAGGAUUAGAUACCCUGGUAGUCCACGCUGUAAACGAUGUGUGCUAGAUGUUGGGUAACUUUGUUAUUCAGUGUCGCAGUUAACGCGUUAAGCACACCGCCUGGGGAGUA
rnacentral:rRNA from 1 species